CACUGGCAGCAGGAGGAGCAGCUGUUUCAAAUCUGUUGUGCACACUGACUGUCCCCAGGAAGACUUUCUUUGGCUCUGUGCGAUGGCAGAGAAGCUCUUAGAAUACACCUGGUCUCUGGGUGAGUCCAGUGGAAAUUAUCCAGGAGAUUUUAGGCUUUAUCCUGCCUGGGUGAAAUCUCAGCUCACCGUACAAGCUCAGAUCUGCGGUGGGAGCAAGUUACUAUGAAAUAGCGACAGCAAGAAGAGCGCAUGCCCCACCCGGCUGAUGUGAAGACCUAGGCCAGCGAGUGAAGAGAAUAGAGCUGAGAUGCCCUUGCCUAAGUGAUGGCCAUGGAUGGGGUGUGCCGGCCUCAGAGAGGAAGGAUUCUUGUUAAAGAGGAGCGUGAGGACAGCUGCUUGAGAAGACCAGGGAAGUGUAUUUCAAGAAUUGAGGGGAAGGAGGAGCCUGACAUUCUCGAAAGCAUUCCGAUUAUGAAAGUAAUGCAGUCGUCCCUUGGUGUCUGUGAGACCAAGACCUUCCUCUGAUCAACAGAUCCAUGAUGUCACCCUCUUUGACUCCUCCUCAUAUGACUCAUAGGCUGGACACAAUGGAAGUACUAUAAAAAAGGCAUUACACUGUAUCACUUAAGGGAUGAUGACGUGUGCUGAGGUCAACAACCAUUUCAAAGUAGAUGAAAGGUUUGGAGGAGACCAGGACCCAGCCUGUGGUCUAUGGCAAGACUACCCAGCCUGGGUGAAUGUGAGGUAAGAAUGCCCACUGGUCACACCGAUGAAACUUGGCACCACACACUGUUAACUGAUCAGCAAGUAUUGACAUGGGUACCCGAAACUCUUUCCAUAGGCCAGGUCACUGAAUCCUCAGAACAAUCUAAUGCCAUCAUCACUGCUCAUGCUUGGAUGCUGUUGCAUGGACCAGGGAAUCGCAGCAUUCGCAUCUGUACUGUCCGGGCUCUGGUGUGCUGCAUCCCAAGAUUCUCUACCUAUGCUUCCUUCCUGUAUCUCCAAAUCUCAGUCCUUUCAAAGUCUAAUCCUUCCCCUCCAACUCGCCAAGGCUAAAUUCACCUUCUUUCUCACAUCCUUGAGGCCAGUGACCUUCAUAUUUACUUGUUCUUAGACCUCCUAGGAGACCUAAAAUCUACACAUUUUUGAGUCACCUAAAAUUGUGAAGCUAUAAAAAUCAAUCCAGCU